UCACUAUCCUAAAUGAAUCCCUAGAAUCCCCUUCUCUCUCCUCGUUCUUCUUCCCAGCCCGAUACUCUUUCUUUUCUUCUCUAGCAUUUCAGUCGGCCAGACCAGAUGAGCCAUCUCCGGCCACCACCCAAUGACACGCACCCCACCACGAGCUUCCUUGGCCCCCGAAACCGCUAACCUGUGAAGCUCGCCUCCCCACUCGCUGGCCUCCGUCGCGACUGGCUCCUCGAAGUUCUGUCGCUGCUGUGAGUUUGGAGGAUUUUUUCUGGCCUCCACCGUGGACGAUGAAGGCUCCUGUUGGCAACGACGAUGGUGAAGGCGACGGCGAAGCCUCCUGAGCUGGUGAAGUUCUCAGGCGUGGGUGGUGCUGCCAUUCUCUUCAUGGAUCAAGGAGGAUGAUAAGAUGAUUCAAGCUGAGGGAGUGGAGUCCCUUUCAGAAAAAGAGCUUAUUUCAGCAUGUGGAGAACGAGGCAUACUUGGAACACUUUCAGUAGAGGAAAUGCGAGAAGAGAUUGCAAGAGGUAUGCAUCUAACUUUUAUUUUAAUACUAUGCAAAUGUUAGAGGACCACUACCACUACCACUACCACGACGACCACCGCCACUGCCGCUGCCGUCUUAUUCGAUCAAAGUUAUGAAAUCCAAUUAUUUCAUACUUUAUGCUAAACCCACGAUUUCGAUUAUUAUAGACUUAAUUCUUAAUAGUCACCAUAGGGAUGAGUCUACAAGAGGUACAUCUAUAACCAUCUAUCCUUAAGAAAUUUAACCUUGUUAUGGACUUGGUGAACACCAUCCGUAGGAAGAUAAAAUCAAAGCAUCUAAAGGCCUCACUAGAUUUUAACUUUGUUAAAUCAACAGUGGAGAUCGAAUAUCUAAUUAAAAUCUCAUUAUUCAUUCAUUCUAUUUGUAUUUUAACUAUGAAACUUAUUAACCUAUUUUUUGCCAAAUUAUUAAAAUAAUCAAUAAACAUUAGUCUAUAAGUUUCCAUUAAUUCUAAAUUACUUAUUGAAAAUAUAAUUUAAAUAAUUUAGAAUUAAUAUAUUUCUGAUCAAUUCUAAACAGGAACCUAAUACGACUAAGUCCAAUUAAGGUAAAUGGGCCUUUACAAUCAGACUUGUAUAGUGGGAGGCUGGGAUCAGUAUGUCGUUCCCAUUACAACAACAUCCACAUCGAUACAAGGUAUGAUGACUGUUUUUGAAACAAGAGAAAUGAUGGAUGUUAUUGACCAUGAACCUCCGACAGGCUAUGAAGAACAUAAGAAACUUAGUGAUUGGAUGAGGUCCAAUCAUCUAGCUCGUUACUGCAUGUAUUGCACCAUUCAUGACGAAAUGAAGGAAAGUAUUUGCAUAUUGAGACCGCAUAUGAGAUGUGGAACUUGAUAACGAGAUUAAUCAAAUUCCUUUGUCCAUUCA